rnacentral:rRNA from 1 species
UCGCCUGUUUUAUCAAAAACAUGUCUUCUUGAUUUAUAAUUUGAAGUCUGACCUGCCCACUGAGAUUAACUUAAAGGGCCGCGGUAUUUUGACCGUGCAAAGGUAGCAUAAUCAUUAGUCUUUUAAUUGGAGGCUAGAAUGAAUGGUUGGACGAGGUAUUGACUGUCUCUGUAUAAAUGAGUUUAGAAUUUAACUUUUAAGUGAAAAGGCUUAAAUAUUUUUAGAGGACGAGAAGACCCCAUAGAGCUUUAUAAUAAGUUUUUUAUAAUUUGUUUAGUAGUUUUUUUAUUAUAUUAAAUUAAUUAUUUUGUUGGGGUGACAGGAAGAUAUAAUAAACUCUUUUUAUUAAUGAAACAUUGAUUUAUGAAUUAUUGAUCCAUUUUUAAUGAUUAAAAGUCUAAGUUACCUUGGGGAUAACAGCGUAAUCUUUUUCGAGAGUUCUUAUCGACAAAAAGGGUUGCGACCUCGAUGUUGGAUUAAGGGUAAUUUUGGGUGUAGAUGUUCAAAGUUUAGGUCUGUUCGACCUUUAAAUCCUUACAUGAUCUGAGUUCAAACCGGAGA